ACUUUAUGUGUUUUCUGAGCACUUCAAAUUCUCUUAGACUUUGCUUGAUUGGUUAGCUGAAGCCUGGAUUCCGUAGUGAAUUCUCUUUAAUGAUGUAAAGAUUCCGGAACUUUUCUUUCAUUCUUGGAGAGUUCUGAGAGUAUUGAAAUGGAUCUAUUAUAUGAACUUUCCCUGCUGCUUCUUAGCUGUACACACCUGGAAGACCAUUAAUGCAAAGAGUUCCAUGGUCUUAGAAGGUCAGACUAUUUCUCAAGUGGCAAUUUGUAGCAUCUUAUACCACAUGUUAUGAAGAGAUACAACAUAUGACCAGUUUCCUUGCUCUUAUGACAGAUGCAUUUCCACCAUUUUAGCAGUUGAAUUAAACUGUAGGAUACAAUUGAUUAUUGAGAAAUGGUAACUCAGCUACACAGCAGCACCAUCUUUUGGCCUUCUAAGGAAAAUGAUCCAAACUUGUCAAUUAUGAAGCCUGUAUUUCUGGUUUGUGUUGUGUGUUCACUUUGUAAUUCAUCUUUGUAAUAAAAUUAAAUCAAGAAAAUAUCUGCA
rnacentral:lncRNA from 1 species